GAAAUACUUCCUUCGUUCUGAAUUACUUGUCGAAGAUAUGGAUGUAUCUACAUGUAUUUUAGUUCUAGAUACAUCCAUUUCUGCGACGAGUAAUUUGGAGCGGAGGGAGUAAUAA
rnacentral:pre_miRNA from 1 species